UACGGAGGGGGCUAGCGUUGUUCGGAAUUACUGGGCGUAAAGCGUACGUAGGCGGUCUUUUAAGUCAGAGGUGAAAGCCCGGGGCUCAACUCCGGAAUUGCCUUUGAAACUGGGAGACUUGAACAUGGGAGAGGUGAGUGGAAUUCCGAGUGUAGAGGUGAAAUUCGUAGAGAUUCGGAGGAACACCAGUGGCGAAGGCGGCUCACUGGACCAUUGUUGACGAUGAGGUACGAAAGAGUGGGGAGCAAACAGG
rnacentral:rRNA from 1 species